UACGGCCGCAUCACGUCGAAACACCCGUUCCGCUACGAUCAUCAAAGUUAAGCAACUUUGACCUGGUCAGUACUUAGAUGUGUGACCGCUUAGGAAUAUCAGGUAGGUGUA